UCAUGAUCUGAAGUGGUGGUUAUGGGUUCGGGGUUCUGGAUCUUGAUGAGAAAUUUGAGUCUUUGGCUCCGGCGAUUAUGGUUCUAUGGUUUUCUGGGCUCUACAGAAGGAGGCUCUUGUAUCAGCCGCCCCCUCCUCCCUAUUCUGGAUUUGGGUUGUAUUGCAAAUCUCUAAAUGUUUCAGUUUUAGGUUGGCUUAUGGGGUUGUGCUGGGUUGGUUUACUUUUUCUUUCCAUUAAUUGAUUUGUUAUGCAUUAAUGUUCAUUUUUCGGUCAAUUAUUGGUGUUGCUUAUGAUAGCUAUGGCUUGUCUUUGCUUGGCUGACUCAUGGCGUUUCUCCUAGUUGAUUUUUUUUUGCUUGUUUUGUCUUUUUUUUUCUGGAAUCAUUUGGGAGUUCUGAUUUGUUUUAGUCAUUGAGGAAUUCCGUUCUGGGCUCCUUGUCAAUUCGGUAUCUCUCUUGGCUGGUGUUUGUGUCUGAUUUGAAAUCCCAUGUGCUUAUGGUUUUUCGGUGGGCUGCUGUUUCGCCGGAGGAAUUUGGGAGACAAAUCAGAGGAAAAUUGCUGCUAUUCACGUGACUGUAUUGUUGCCAGCUGGUUAAUGGGUCCCAUUUCAUUUGGGUUUUUCAAUUUUGACCAGCUGAUUUCAUUUGGGCACAUUUCAGCUUUUUGCCUACCUUCUUCACGUGGGAUGGGAUUGAUGAUGUCUGCUAUGUCCUUGACAGGUUAACAAAUGGAUCCAUUGAGGACUAACCGUGAGGGUCUUGGGCCCACGGUUUGGGCUGAUAUUGUUAUACUUAUGGUCUGUUUGGCUUUUAAACUAAAUUUCUUAGUUGUUUCUUUUGCCUAACCUCGGGUUGUGAGGAAAAUGUAAUUUAGGUUAGGUAUUUUGUUCCCUAGGUUGCUAGGUGUUUUAGUCCCCUCGGGAGAAGGGGAUUAUGCUCU
rnacentral:lncRNA from 1 species